rnacentral:rRNA from 1 species
GACGAACGCUGGCGGCGUGCCUAAUACAUGCAAGUCGAGCGCUGAAGCGAGGAGCUUGCUCUUCUUGGAUGAGUUGCGAACGGGUGAGUAACGCGUAGGUAACCUGCCUUGUAGCGGGGGAUAACUAUUGGAAACGAUAGCUAAUACCGCAUAACAAUGGAUGACACAUGUCAUUUAUUUGAAAGGGGCAAUUGCUCCACUACAAGAUGGACCUGCGUUGUAUUAGCUAGUAGGUGAGGUAACGGCUCACCUAGGCGACGAUACAUAGCCGACCUGAGAGGGUGAUCGGCCACCCUGGGACUGGGACACGGCCCAGACUCCUACGGGAGGCAGCAGUAGGGGAACUUCGGCAAUGGGGGCAACCCUGAACGAGCAACGCCGCGUGAGUGAAGAAGGGUCUCGGAUCGUAAAGCUCUGUUGUAAGUCAAGAACGAGUGUGAGAGUGGAAAGUUCACACUGUGACGGUAGCUAACCAGAAAGGGACGGCUAACUACGUG